rnacentral:rRNA from 1 species
GACGAACGCUGGCGGCGUGCUUAACACAUGCAAGUCGAACGGAAAGGCCUGCUUUCCCUUGUGGAUUGCGGGUACUCGAGUGGCGAACGGGUGAGUAACACGUGAGUGAUCUGCCCCCAACUUGGGUAUAAGCCUGGGAAACUGGGUCUAAUUCCCGAUAGGACUGCAGGGUGGUGCCUGUGGUGGAAAACGAUUUUCUAGUGGUUGGGGAUGAGCUCGCGGCCUAUCAGCUUGUUGGUGGGGUAAUGGCCUACCAAGGCGGCGACGGGUAGCCGGCCUGAGAGGGUGGACGGCCACAUUGGGACUGAGAUACGGCCCAGACUCCGACGGGAGGCAGCAGUGGGGAAGAUUGCACAAUGGGCGGAAGCCUGAUGCAGCGACGCCGCGUGGGGGAUGACGGCCUUCGGGUUGUAAACUCCUUUCGACCGCGAGGAAGCCACCUGGUUGGAAGGGUGGUGACGGUAGUGGUAGAAGAAGCACCGGCUAACUACGUG